rnacentral:rRNA from 1 species
UACGGUAGGGCGCGAGCGUUAUCCGGAAUUAUUGGGCGUAAAGAGCUCGUAGGCGGCUUGUCACGUCUGCUGUGAAAACUCGGGGCUCAACCCCGAGCCUGCAGUGGAUACGGGCUAGCUAGAGUGCGGUAGGGGAGACUGGAAUUCCUGGUGUAGCGGUGAAAUGCGCAGAUAUCAGGAGGAACACCGGUGGCGAAGGCGGGUCUCUGGACCGAUACUGACGCUGAGGAGCGAAAGCGUGGGGAGCGAACAGG